rnacentral:rRNA from 1 species
AGAGUUAAAAAGUACGUGAAAUUGUUAAAAGGGAAACGUUUGAGAUCAGUGUUGCUCUCUGAAAAUCAACUUGUCAGCAAUGGCGGGUGCACUUUUCAGUUGGCAGGUCAACAUUGGUUUCGUGCAUAGGACACUAGCCUGGAAAGGUGGCCUUCUUCUCGGAGUCGGUGUUAUAGUCCAGGUGAAUACUUUGUACGGGACCAAGGAACGCGAUGUAAGCUUAGCGGACGAAUGCGGCUCUGUGUAGAUUACGCUUGCUGGAUGCUUGCAAACUGUAGGUACACUCUAUACACUGUCGUGCUAGUACCAUUACAUCAAGGAUGUUGACGAAAUGGUCUUAAACGACC